rnacentral:lncRNA from 1 species
AGAAAAUCAAGUCUUCUAGUGAUAAAACCAAAAAUCUCUCUAAUCCAAUUAGUAGAUUGCUAGAUAUCUAAGAAAACCUUACUAGUCUUCAAAACCCUAAACUCCAAGACCUUAGCCCACAAAAACCUUCAUAUGUAUUGAUCUGGCUAUUCAAUUGACUUCAAAUAUCUUGUACACAUUCACAACAAGCAUACCAAUAAGUUUCUAAAUUUUCACCUAUAAAAAUGCUACAAAAGACACGAAAUCUAAAAAUUUGUAAACUGGUUUUAUUUCUCAAAGAUCUGGAUUUAUAGAGAACAUCACUUGCUUUGAAAAUCCCUCAAAAAUCCAAAACUGAUCCAAAUGACACGAAAUUACCUCUCAAAAAUCCCUCCACAAGUCUUCUCUCUAAUUCAACUCUCCAA